CACUAGUCUGAAAGUAGUAAGUUAUCUUGAUUGCUCAUAGUCAGUUACAAAUAUAACUUCUCAUUCUACUCAUUACCCCCUUCUCUCUACUGCACUUGGCUGGUCUUAA
ensembl:misc_RNA Y_RNA Y RNA